AAAAACAAAACAAAACCAAAUUACAGUUCAGAUCUUUAUUAAUUGUUGUAUUGCACUAUAGAACAAAUAAUGACAGAUGAUGGGGGGAAUCAAACUCAAAAUAUGAUAUAGCACUGAAACUAAAUGAGAGUGAAUUCAAUAAUAAAUGAUAUCGAAUUGAUCGAAUUAUAACAAAAUGAAAUACAAUGAUACCAAAUUGAAACAAACAGAUACAAAAAAUAGUUACAUUGUAGUUUUAAACUUUUUUCAUUACAACAUCUGAAUAAUUUUAAAGAGAUUUUAUCCCGAAAAAUUAACAAAACAGUUUCUCUUGUUGCACUGUAUUUCUGUAUUUGCUCUUUAAACUAUUUUCUUCUAAAAAAUUAAAGUUUCAAAGGUAACCAUAAUCUUUUUAAAUGGUUUAUACUACAUAUUCUUGAACUUAAUUCUGUAAUACAAUCCUUGAGCAGGUCUAUUUAUUUUUCAGUUUCUGCCAUAAGGAGAUUUUAAAAACUAAUUUCGUUUGCAUUUUACUAGUUGGAGAAAAAGUGUUAUUUAAUUAAGGUUCCUCAUUUUUUCUAAAAUAAUUAGAAAUUAGCGUUUUAUUUGAUCUUUAAAUUUAAUUUCCUCUACCAACAAUAUCCAUGAAAAAGUCUCCAAUGAAUAUGUAUUAAUGAAUCAACAGUUAGUCUUUAAUUUGGAUUCUUAAAAAAAAGGGAAAUACAGAAAAGCAGUGCAACAAAGGGAUGCUUUUCAAAAAUUACGCUAUUGUAAAAUGUGUCUGAUUUGUUUCACAUAAAUUUACAUUAAAAUGCAAUACUAUAAUAAGUACAAAUUCACAAAAAUAUUUUAUUCACUGAAUAUGAAAUACACUUGCUUUAAUGUAAAUUAUACACAAAUAUUUCAAUUUGAAAUUCUUUAGACUGAGUGUCACACACAGUAACAUGUAAGUAUUGAGAAGUGUUGUUACAACACAAUGUGUAUGGAAAUUAAGUACAACUGUGUCCUUAAGUGCAAGUCUCAAAAGAAUCAGGCAGUUUUUAAAAUCAAUAAAUAGAAAUGAAAACCAAUUGUAUUUUCCACAAGAUUUUGAUCUUGAACAGUGACCUUUUCUACAAAAAUCACUUGACUUAAAUGGAUUGUAAUUAAUACUGAAAUACUCAUAGUUAAGGAGUAUUUUUACUUUUGUUGUAAAAGAAGCUACAACUCAAAUUAUUUUAUUGUAGAAUUAAUUCUCUGAUAGAGUUAUCUCCCUUAUUGUAUUUUUCCAAAAUAAUACUUUCGUUGCUGUGCUUGGUAAUUGAUGUAAAUUUGAAUGUUUUAUCUGCCUGAUUUUUAGUAAGACUAAUACAAUGAAAUCUUUUUAAACAAAACCCCUUUGAAAGUGAGGAUUGUGUCCAUAUUACACAGGUGAUUUGUUUAUUAAAACAGUGUUAAACAACUUAUGAAUAUUCAUUGCUUAAUUCUGGUUCAGUUUAGAGACUUCACUAACAUGGAAUAAGACAAUUUGCAAUCACUGAACUGUUCUAUAACACAAAAAUAAAAUUCUUUCACAAAUAUUGUAAAGUGAAACAAAAAUCUACAACAAGAACAAUAUAAUUGUUUAAAUUUUGAUAUGAUUCAUAUACAAUGAAAUACAAUGGAUGGAGGUCAACAUAUUAUAUUAUUUAUGAACCUGAAGAUGAGACUUGUUCAUAAUUUAUACACUGCAAUGUAAGAAUUAUAGAUUUUACAGAAAAUAUUUCUGAAUAAAUUUUGAUCAGUAUUUAAACUUGCAUUUCAAUUUGGUUUAACAAAGAGAGGAAUCAAAUAUUGCACACAAAUGUUUUUUAUAUAUCAUAUAAUUUCUUUAAGAGUCACUAAUAUAUUAAACUUUACAAUCUUUUUAUAGAAAGUUCCAUCAAUAUACAAGUAUCUGAUGAAGUUCGUUGCCAAACAGUUAAGAAAUCUGCACCACAAAACGAUUACUUAAUUGAUUGUCUAUUGCUUGAGGUUCAGAGGAGAAUAAACCAAAGUGUACAUGAUCAUGAUAUCUGAGAAUAUCCACAAUUAUUAUGAUAUGACAAGUUCAUUGCAUGUUUAGGAAAUCUAUCAAAAUAAAAAAAAUUUAUAUGCUUUUUUUCCCGAAUCUGAAAUUGACCAAUUAUAUUAUGAUUCUUGGUCUUAUCUAACAAUGGUUUGAUCGAUUAUGGUACAGAUUCUUUAAAAGUAAUUCAUGGUUUCAGAAUGUGAAGGAUUAUAAGUAAUUUCAUCGUCAAUACUCUAUUAUGCAUUAGUGGUAUCCAUUGUUCGAGACAUUAUCAAUCAAUUGUAAUAUUUUAGCGUAAUUUUUUGACAUUAUCACCAGAAUGCAUUGGAUUUUGAAACAUCCAAAUUCAUCAAUUGUAAAGCUGUAAGGUAUAUACGAUGAAUUUUUAAAAUUUGAUUUUUUCGGCAUGAUCAACAGAAAUAUUUUAAUACAUACAUUUACAUAUAUAUGUGUGGAAAUGACAGAGGUAGAUAAAACAAAAUAUAAUUUAAUCAUAUAAUUUCUUUUUGUUUACUUAACAUUUCAAAUACAAGCUAAUUUGCUUUCUCAUCACAGAUUUUUUAACCAUUAGUACUUUUCAAAAAUAAUUCUUACUUCUUAUUCUGGGAGUCUAACCAUUUAAAUUGCAAGAAAUGAUUGAAGGCUUAUCAGCAGCAUGCCAAAAUAAUUUGGUCUAUAAAAUUCAUUAAAUUUGGUUAUAAUUCAUUUAAUCAGUAAUAAACAUGUGCA
rnacentral:lncRNA from 1 species